UCUGAACGGGCACGAAAAUAAUUUCGUGAAAAGUUGAAUUUUUUGCGCGACAAAUAUAUUCUAUUCAUCGCGCCAGAUCAACGGGAUUUAAUUGAAAUCGCGAACACUUUCCCUCAGCUCUUCCUCUCUGUAAGCUCUCUCCCUCUGACAGCCCUCUCAUACAACUAAAUUUCUGUCAACCUCCCUCUCGGCCUCUCACCCUCUCGCCCCCUCGCACUCUCUCUUCCUCCUCCGACAACCCUCUAUCUCUCUGAGAUGUCGCAGCUUAUUAGAAGUCAUAAGGAGGUGAUGACUGCACCUUGUUUGAUUCCCCCGCCUCCUACUUCAGCCGCCACUGCCCUAGUAGAAAUGGACCCCAGGUAGUUAAUCCGAGUGAUCCGGUUGGUCCCCAGGUCUCCCAGGUGCCGGAGUCAUCAACCUCUUCAGUGGCGCUACUUGUUAGCGCCAGGCGUGGUCACCGUCACUGCUGAUGCCUCGGGGUCACAACAAGCAAAGAAAAAUACUCGGGGACCUUGUCGCUAGUUGAAGACAGUGAAGGUCACUCGAGUGACCAACGAACGUAUCACAAUUGGAUACAACGACCUGCAUCGGGCUACACCAACGGCGGAGCAGCAUAGCGCAUUGGCCCACGACAUUGGUCACGUCGUUCGAACCUAUUACCUUAUGCGAUGGAAGUCUUGGAUGGCGAUGCUAGACAAGGUGAGGACAAAGGUGCGUGAUUGUUUGUUGACGAAUUAAAAAUUCGACGACAUCAACAAUGAUAUGUUGGUGUAUGUCAACAGGCUCUUCGCUAAAUGCUAUAAGCAGUGGAAGAGCGACAUGCACCAAUAUUUUCAGACAUUUGAUGAUCCACAGGUUGCCCUUGAGGAGGGUUGCUCGAAGGAGUUCGAGGACCAAGAAGAAAAUUAGGUGUGGCUGUGCAGUCAUUUUCAGGAACUCGGCUAUGUGAAGAAGGCGAAAGACAACAAGAUUAAUAAGAAGAAGAAUCUUCUCCACCAUUCGGGUUCAAGGCCCUUCUCAUAUAGGAUGGAGGCGCAACGACAGGGGUUCAAAAUUCCCGGAGAUUGAUGUCUUUGCAGACGUUUAUGUUUGACCCGGGGAUGAGUUGCCCAAGUCCCUUCAUGUAAUUAAGUCUUUAGCUGUGAUUACUAUCUUAUGCAUUCAAGUAUCAUGGUUAUUAUUUCAAUGUUAUUAUUAAUAUUUCAUGUUAUA